UGUCCAGUAGCACCUUAGAAACUAACUAAGUUUAUUCUUGGUAUAAGCUUUUGUGAAGUGUCCAUGCACACGAAAUCCUAUACCAAGAACAAACUUAGGUGGUCUCUAAGGUGCUACUGGACA